GGAGGCAUAGCAGUGAAAGCACUUGGCUGCUAACCAAAAGAUUGGUGGUUUGAACCCACCAGCCACCC
rnacentral:tRNA from 1 species